rnacentral:rRNA from 1 species
CCUACGGGAGGCAGCAGUGGGGAAUCUUGCGCAAUGGGCGAAAGCCUGACGCAGCAACGCCGCGUGCGGGAAGAAGGCUUUCGGGCUGUAAACCGCUUUCAGCAGGAACGAAAAUGACGGUACCUGCAGAAGAAGGAGCGGCCAACUAUGUGCCAGCAGCCGCGGUGAUACAUAGGCUUCAAGCGUUGUCCGGAUUUAUUGGGCGUAAAGAGUUCGUAGGCGGUCGAGUAAGUCGGGUGUGAAAAUUCUGGGCUCAACCCAGAGACGCCACCCGGAUACUGCUUAACUUGAGUUCGAUAGGGGAGUGGGGAAUUCCUAGUGUAGCGGUGAAAUGCGCAGAUAUUAGGAGGAACACCGGUGGCGAAGGCGCCACGUCUGGAUCGAUACUGACGCUGAGGAACGAAAGCAAUGGGUAGCAAACAGGAUUAGAUACCCUGGUAGUCCAUGCCGUAAACGGUGGGCACUAGGUGUGGGAUUCGUAUUAACGAAUUCCGCGCCGUCGCUAACGCAUUAAGUGCCCCGCCUGGGAAGUCGGUGCAAGCAAACUCAAAGGAAUUGAAGGCUUGAGAGUUGCGAGCGCGACGAGGGAGGAGG